ACCAGACUCCUACGGGAGGCAGCAGUGGGGAAUAUUGCACAAUGGGGGAAACCCUGAUGCAGCGACGCCGCGUGAGUGAAGAAGUAUUUCGGUAUGUAAAGCUCUAUCAGCAGGGAAGAAAAACCGACCAUAGGGUCGCUAGACGGUACCUGAUUAAGAAGCCCCGGCUAACUACGUGCCAGCAGCCGCGGUAAUACGUAGGGGGCAAGCGUUAUCCGGAUUUACUGGGUGUAAAGGGAGCGUAGACGGCAGCGCAAGUCUGAAGUGAAAUGCCGGGGCUUAACCCCGGAACUGCUUUGGAAACUGAGCAGCUAGAGUGCAGGAGAGGUAAGUGGAAUUCCUAGUGUAGCGGUGAAAUGCGUAGAUAUUAGGAGGAACACCAGUGGCGAAGGCGGCUUGCUGGACAGAGACUGACGUUGAGGCUCGAAAGCGUGGGGAGCAAACAGGAUUAGAUACCCUAGUAA
rnacentral:rRNA from 1 species